rnacentral:rRNA from 1 species
CAAUAGCGUAUAUUUAAGUUGCUGCAGUUAAAAAGCUCGUAGUUGGAUUUCUGGUGGGAGCGAUCGGUCUGGCGCUUAGCGCGAGUACUUGCAUCGUCUCCGGCCAUCCUUGGGGAGAGUCUGUCUGGCAUUAGGUUGUCGGGCAGAGGAUCCUCAUCGUUUACUGUGAAAAAAUUAGAGUGUUCAAAGCAGGCUUAUGCCGUUGAAUAUAUUAGCAUGGAAUAAUAAGAUAGGACUUUGGUACUAUUUUGUUGGUUUGCGCACCAAAGUAAUGAUUAAUAGGGACAGUUGGGGGUAUUCGUAUUCCAUUGUCAGAGGUGAAAUUCUUGGAUUUUUGGAAGACGAACUACUGCGAAAGCAUUUACCAAGGAUGUUUUCAUUAA